ensembl:piRNA 21ur-15464 ncRNA
UAAUAAUUGAUUGUCUCCGGU